GAUGAUCUACGUCAUGAUUCUAUGUUGCUGAUUAAAUAAAAUCAUAUGGUAAUGACUGCUUAUACAUGUCAAAGCUAAGCGUAGGACUAUCUGACAAUGUAGGCUGAUCUGACAGAACACCGGCUCCUUGUGUAGCCGGGGCAUGGGGCCCCUGAAUGUGCUGCUGCGCCUCUUCCUCUUGUCCAUAUAUGGAAGAUGCUGUGACAGAGUGCAGCUGGCUUGUUAGGGAGACAGGUAAUCAGUAUUUGCAUUUAAAAGCGGGUAGAUCCCUGAGAUGAUCAGAUGCAGGCUGAGGACUUGUGCACAGGAAACGCACUUUAGAGAGUGACGUCAAGAGCAACAUUUACUGGUUUCACUUUAGAGAAGGUAAGGGUUUCUCAUGAUUUAUCUGGCUGGUUAAUGUUCUUGUCUAACUUGAUUUCUUUUGUGUGUAGGUUGGCCUGCUACUGUUUCAGUUUUUGAUUUGUUUUGAUUUCAAUUUUUCUUUUGUUUCAGUGUACUUAUUUUUAGAUGUUUAUUGUUGAUUAAAAAUAACUUUUCUUUUUUGGUGGUUUUGUUUAGGGAAAGGGAGUUUCUGCUGCAGCCCUCUGGCUAGUUUUAAACUGGUCCUAUGCUGUCCCUGGGACCUAUGCUGUCCCUGGGUCCUAUGCUGUCCCUGGGUCCUAUGCUGUCCCUGGGUCCUAUGCUGUCCCUGGGUCCUAUGCUGUCCCCGGGACCUAUGCUGUCCCUGGGUCCUAGGCUGUUUUACUCAGACUGAGACUAGUGGGAGGGGAGUUUUUUUUCUUUCUUUGUAUUCACUAGGGAUUUUUGUGUGAGUGUGCUUUUGUUGGGGAACACUUAAGUGCAUUUAGUUGUAUUUGUGUUUAUUAUUAUUCCUCCCCCAAACAGUCAAAUUUUUAUCUAAUUGGGUUUUAAUUAUUUUUCAGCUUUAAGGAUCCCAGGGCCAGCGUAGACUCCCACUUUUAGUGUGGUCACUUGGUAUAAUAAAAUAAAUUGACUAUUUUUGCUCAUGAAACAUUUGUGAAUUCAAUAAACUGUUUGUAAUCUGCA